rnacentral:lncRNA from 1 species
GGAGGUUCAGAGGAAAGCCGUGGAAACGAUGAGGACCAGGAAAAUGAAAUGCAAACAUGUAUCCUGGGGAGCUCUGUCAGGGAGUAGUUUUGCAGAGAAGGAGGAGUUGUGAGUGAGAGGAAAGAAGAUCGAGAAGGAAGAGCUGUGAUCCUGUUUGUUAGCAGUUUGCACAGACUGGACGUGUUUUCACAUGCAUAAAUUGAUCAUGCAAAGCACCGUUCUGACCACAGACUGGUACCUCCAGGCCGCCGCGAGACAGAGCCCUCAUCUCCCGGGUGGACGCAGAUGCCUAAGCGUGGUUCAGCAUUCAGACGUUCAUUAUCCAGCCUGUCUCCCUUCGACACACGGCUUUUAG